UGCGGGCAGCUCGCUGUCUCCUGGACCCCCGCCUUCCCCACGGGCCCCACUCUGUGGCUGUCUGGGGUACUGGGGGGUCUGCACUCAGCUCAUCUCCCUAGUGGUCCCUGAGACUGAGCCCCUGGCUCCUGGGUCCCUCCGCAGAGUGAGGGCCGGGCCUGCCCACGCUAAGCUUCAUAGCGGACACUGACAGGCCAAAGCUGGCCCCAGCCCUGCAGGGCAGAGGCCUCUGCCCCUCACCCCCCUGCCUCUCUCCCUACCCCUCCGGGCUGAGCACUGGCUCAGAGGUGAGCCCUGCUCCUCUCUCGGCCCCUGCUGCUGGGUUACUACACUUAGCGUCCAGUGUGGCGGGGAGGGGCUCUGAGAGCACUGCAGGGCCGCCCCGGCCCCCACGCAGUGCCCCCGUCACGUCACGCUGCCUCUAACCCCAGCCGCUUUCAGCACGGCUGCCCGGCACUGCCCGGCUUCCUUCGCCGUGUGUGCGUGGUCGGCUGAGUGCAGGAACGCAGGAGACCCGCUGAGCGGGCGGGCACAGCGCCUGAGCUGAAAGCCCAGCAGACCCCCGCCUGCUGCCUCGGACUCGGAGACAGGGAAGAAGCUGGGAAGCCACGCCAGGAGACAACUGGAGUAACGAGAAGCAGGCGGGGGGCUAGAGCAGCCUCCACGUCCACUGGAGAUGAGGUUGGCUCUGGCCGUCAGUGCCCAGUGCAUUUGCAACACCUACGUGCUAGACUGGGCACAUGCCCGGCUGUCAAUAGGUGGACGCACCGGGCCAACAACACCGGCAUGCCAGACGGAGAAGGUGCAGCCAGCCCGCCUUCUCCAGAUGGAGCCCCGGCAAACUGCUCAGGAGGGGCUCCGCCACCCCUGAGCGUCCAUUACCCCAGAGGCGCAGAAACCAGUCUCGAACACAGCGGCUCUGGCAGGUGUACUGCUGGACUGUGAACUAAGCCACGCCCGGGCAGCCUCGUCCUUUUCCCUUUGCGGCAGCAUGACGACCGCCAACGUCUAGAAACAACUGGACAGAGAGCUUCCCCCGACAGAGGCUCCGGCCCCACCGCCACGCGGGAGCCCCUGCCACGGAGCCUGGUUCUGUGUGCCCCAGGGGCUGGGCCCGCUGGGGCUGCCACGGCUUGGCUGAACAUGGACCCCCAGAGGCGGAGGCCCAGGUGCUUGUCCCGGAAGCAGCCAGGUUUGCGGGCUGCGGCACUCACGACGGCCCGAGCUCUCCCAGAGCGAGUGCGCGUCCGGAGACGUCUUCGUAGCAGCCACCAGGGGGAAAACCACCCGCUGGGCGACUCUGGGCAUCACCCAAGCAGGCGCUGUGCUCUCCAGAAGCCGCGGCCCAGAGACGAGCAGCGGCCCCACCCGGAGGCAGUGCUCAAGAGUCAGGCACAAGAACUGACAGGACCUGCGGGAACGCUCAAAAUUCAGCAGAAAACAAAGCUUUCGGUGUUUGUUUGUCUUGGGGCCACGCCUGGUGCUCAGGGCUUACUCCUGGCUCUGCACUCAGGGCUCACCCCUGGUGGGGCUCGGGGGGCCAUAUGGGACCUGGGGACAGAGUCUGGGUCAGAUGCAUGCAAGGCCAGUGUUCUACCCACUGUGCUAUCUCUCUGGCCCCCAGAGAGAUUGUAUGUGUGUGUGUGUGUAUGUGUGUGUAUAAAUAAAAGCCUUGAACAGACACUUCCCCCACAAAGAGAGUAGAGUGGGCAGGACCCUCGCAGAGAUGCCCAGCAAGACCCCAGCCCCUCUUGGUUACCUGCUAGAGGUGAGAUUUAAAGGGCCGACAGCCCUGCAGACAUUUUUCCCUCCCUCUGGAGCAUAGCGGGGACAGUGGGGAGAGCUUAGGCUUAGGUGUGUCUUUAAGGGGGCACUUCCUCCCACUUCGCUCUGACAUCCCCCCACUAAGGCAGACUCCCAGGACAGUGCCCGGCACGAGCACUGGUAGGGAGUGGGGGGUUGCUGGGUGCUGUACCAUAUCUCCAGCUGAAUGGACGACAGCAGGGGACCUUCCUGUCACUUAAGGGGGUGUGCACAGAGCAGGGAGGAGGCGAGCGCUCUCGUGGCCUCACUCCCAUGGGUGCAGCCCUCGGUGACAGUCCUGUCCCUGCCUAUAGGACAUGCCGGGCCAGGAUGGGGUCACCGCGGGGGGCUUUGGCCCCAUGCAGGCCUCUAACUAAGCCGCAGCUCGGCUGAGAGCUCAGGAGAGAGGAAGGGUCCGCACACCCCGAGGUCUCCGGCACAGCCUCUCACUGCCCACUUCAGAAGCUCUGCACAAGGUCCUGGAGGGGCCCAGGAGCAACGCACCAGCCUUCCGGCCACCCAGACCGGGAGUCGUGGUGCUGACUGGGCCCUGCACACGGGCCACUGGGGCCGCCAGGGCAGAUGCCACCCGGUUCUCUGACGCAAACCUCUGCCACAGAAUUGUUGGUCAUAGAGCAAACUCCCCUUUAAAAAUAUAUUCUUGGGGCUGGAGCGAGAGCACAGCGGGGAGGGUGUCUGCCUUGCAUGCGGCCAACCGGGUUCGAUUCCCAGCAUUUCAUAUGGUCCCCCGAGCACCGCCAGGAGUAAUUCCUGAGUGCAUGAGCCAGGAGUAACCCCUGUGCAUCGCUGGGUGUGACCCAAAAAGACAAAAUAAAACAAAACAAACAGUUGUGCUCGCUUCGGCAGCACAUAUACUAAAAAAUACAUAUUUUAAAAAGGACACAGUGGAGCACUGAAGUUGGGUCCUUCCCAGCCCUGUCGUCGUUCCCCGGAGCCUCCUGGUCAGGAAUCACAGACCCAGCCUGCCGAGGCGCCGGUGCCUGGUUCUCCCACUGCUGAGUGGCUCUGAGGGUCGGGGCCUCCGGCCUGGCCCUCGGGCCGUCUGCACGGGCUGGAGCUCGCACCUCGAGCACCUGAAAACCUGCACCUGCAGAUCCCCAGAUGCAGACCAGGACCCCCUGGAGAGGCCGCCCCCUCCAGGAGGCCUGUGGGCCCCAGGGUGCAGAACCCGCCAUGGCGUCUCUGGACGCGGAGGCCAGUGCCAGCCCUCGGCUCUGCCCACGCCCCGGAGCCUGGGCCUGACCCUCGCAGUGCCCCGCGCAGGGGACGGAGGCCUAGGACUCGGCUCCACAUCCCCACAGGCCAGGAAUGAACAUGAGGACAGUGGGGUGCCCGCGCUCGUCCGCACCCCCUGCAAGCUGCCCUCCCGUUUGAACUGUAGGGUAGUCUGGGGCCCAAGUCGCAGCAAAUAGCUUUAGGGUGGCUUGGGGUUUCUUUCUUUUUCAAUGUUUUUAUCUCCCCCCCCCCCGUGGGCCUUAGGAAGUUUUAUAAGAUAUUUUCACCGGUGAGUCCUGGUAUUUCCUCUGUAGCUGUUGUGGCUGUCUUCACUGCUUUCCAGCCUCUCUUCUUCCAUCCAAAACUUACGCAUUUUAUUGACUUUUUUAAUAGCUUCAAAAGAUUGUUUUGCGGAGCCAAAGGCCAAAACCCAGGGCCUCACUCACACAAGCCAGGUCCGUGCCGCGUGGCGCGCCCAUUCCCAGCCCUCCGAGCUGGACGGGGGGAUUCGGGACGAGGCCACAGCGGGCUCCCGCAGCCCCCCUCGCCAGCCAGCCAAGUGCGGUGUUGCUCUGCCCAGGUGGUGAUGGGGGCGGGGGCGGGGGCGGGCGCAGGGGUGGGACUCAGGCCCCGGGACAUGCCAGAUGGUGCCCAGGUCUGCGGGUUGACUUUUUCUUGAAAAGGUCAGUAGGAUUUCUGGCUGCUCGGACGCUGUGAUCUGAUUAGCUUCUCCCUGACUGAUUCUCCCCGGCCGGUUCAGAUAUGCUAAGGCAAAAUAUUCUCAACCACGCACACAGGGAAAGUGCAAGAGGAGGCCAAGGGCAAAACAAUAGAAAAAUAAAUUAUCUGGCAUCUGCCCCAGCAGGCAGGCUUGAAAGGUGGUGGAAAGGCACAGCAGAAACGACACCUGUGCCUAUAUGUUCACUGCAGCACUGUUCACAAUAGCCAAAAUAUGGAAACAACCCCAGUGCCCUAAAACAGAAGACUGGGUAAAGAAACCUUGGUACAUCUACACAAUGGAAUACUAUACAGCUGUUAGGGGAAAUGAAGUCAUGAAAUUUGCUUAUAAAUGGAUAGAUAUGGAGAGUAUCAUGCAAGUGAAGUGAGUCAGAAAGAGAGGGACAGACAUAGAGGGACUGCACUCAUUUGUGGAGUGUAGGGUAGCAUCACAUGAGGCUGACACCCAAGGACAGUAGAUACAAGGGCCAGGGAGAUUGCCCCAUAGCUGGAAAACUGCUUCAUGAGCGGAGGGGAGAAGGCAGAUGGAAUAGAGAAGGGAUCACUAAGAAAAUGAUGGCUGGAGGAAUCAGUCGGGAUGGGAGAUGCAUGCCGAAAGUAGAUAAUGGACCAAACAUGAUGACCUCUCAGUGUCUGUGUUGCAAGCCAUAA